rnacentral:rRNA from 1 species
AUUGAACGCUGGCGGCAGGCCUAACACAUGCAAGUCGAGCGGAUGAAGGGAGCUUGCUCCCUGAUUUAGCGGCGGACGGGUGAGUAAUGCCUAGGAAUCUGCCUGGUAGUGGGGGAUAACGUUCCGAAAGGAACGCUAAUACCGCAUACGUCCUACGGGAGAAAGCAGGGGACCUUCGGGCCUUGCGCUAUCAGAUGAGCCUAGGUCGGAUUAGCUAGUUGGUGAGGUAAUGGCUCACCAAGGCGACGAUCCGUAACUGGUCUGAGAGGAUGAUCAGUCACACUGGAACUGAGACACGGUCCAGACUCCUACGGGAGGCAGCAGUGGGGAAUAUUGGACAAUGGGCGAAAGCCUGAUCCAGCCAUGCCGCGUGUGUGAAGAAGGUCUUCGGAUUGUAAAGCACUUUAAGUUGGGAGGAAGGGCAGUAAGCUAAUACCUUGCUGUUUUGACGUUACCGACAGAAUAAGCACCGGCUAACUUCGUGCCAGCAGCCGCGGUAAUACGAAGGGUGCAAGCGUUAAUCGGAAUUACUGGGCGUAAAGCGCGCGUAGGUGGUUCGUUAAGUUGGAUGUGAAAGCCCCGGGCUCAACCUGGGAACUGCAUCCAAAACUGGCGAGCUAGAGUACGGUAGAGGGUGGUGGAAUUUCCUGUGUAGCGGUGAAAUGCGUAGAUAUAGGAAGGAACACCAGUGGCGAAGGCGACCACCUGGACUGAUACUGACACUGAGGUGCGAAAGCGUGGGGAGCAAACAGG